UACGUAGGGUGCAGGCGUUAAUCGGAAUUACUGGGCGUAAAGCGUGCGCAGGCGGUCUUUUAAGUCAGAUGUGAAAUCCCCGGGCUUAACCUGGGAACUGCGUUUGAAACUGGAAGGCUAGAGUGUGGCAGAGGGGGGUGGAAUUCCACGUGUAGCAGUGAAAUGCGUAGAGAUGUGGAAGAACACCGAUGGCGAAGGCAGCCCCCUGGGAUGAGACUGACGCUCAUGUACGAAAGCGUGGGGAGCAAACAGG
rnacentral:rRNA from 1 species